rnacentral:rRNA from 1 species
CAGUCGCCACGGUAAUGCGUAGGUGGCAAGCGUUGUCCGGAAUUAUUGGGCGUAAAGGGCUCGCAGGCGGUUUCUUAAGUCUGAUGUGAAAGCCCCCGGCUCAACCGGGGAGGGUCAUUGGAAACUGGGAAACUUGAGUGCAGAAGAGGAGAGUGGAAUUCCACGUGUAGCGGUGAAAUGCGUAGAGAUGUGGAGGAACACCAGUGGCGAAGGCGACUCUCUGGUCUGUAACUGACGCUGAGGAGCGAAAGCGUGGGGAGCGAACAGGAUUAGAUACCCGGGUAGUCCCUGUCUCUUAUAC